rnacentral:rRNA from 1 species
GUGGGGAAUAUUGGACAAUGGGCGAAAGCCUGAUCCAGCCAUGCCGCGUGUGUGAAGAAGGUCUUCGGAUUGUAAAGCACUUUAAGUUGGGAGGAAGGGCAGUAAGUUAAUACCUUGCUGUUUUGACGUUACCGACAGAAUAAGCACCGGCUAACUUCGUGCCAGCAGCCGCGGUAAUACGAAGGGUGCAAGCGUUAAUCGGAAUUACUGGGCGUAAAGCGCGCGUAGGUGGUUUUGUAAGUUGGAGGUGAAAUCCCCGGGCUCAACCUGGGAACUGCCUCCCAAACUGCAUGACUAGAGUACGGUAGAGGGUAGUGGAAUUUCCUGUGUAGCGGUGAAAUGCGUAGAUAUAGGAAGGAACACCAGUGGCGAAGGCGACUACCUGGACUGAUACUGACACUGAGGUGCGAAAGCGUGGGGAGCAAACAGGAUUAGAAACCCGGGUAGUCC